AACUGUAGCAGUGGUUAAGGCGAUGGACUGCUAAUCCAUUGUGCUCUGCACACGUGGGUUCGAAUCCCAUCCUCGUUG
rnacentral:tRNA from 1 species